GGGUCCCAGAAUUGGGGCAGAGAGAGGGCUGGGAGGGGGCAGGGAUGGAGCAUGACCCUCUUAGGGGUUGAAGCUCUCCUCCAUUCCCCUCUGAUCUCCCACAGUGCUCACACACCAACCCCAUCCCCCCAGGCCACCUUCCCAGUUUCCAGGAGAAGCUCUCAGACCUUUACCCUAAAGCAGGAAUAACAGAGACCCUGAGCUCUUUUAAGGAGAACCCGCUGGGCUGAUAAGCACUGGCACCAUCUGAGUGUGCAGUGCCCAGUGGCUGAAUGAACGGGAGACAGGAUCCAUCCCAGCACAGACCAGCUCCGUUGUUUGAGCCUCACUGAUUUUAGUCCUGUGAGCCAGAGUCCCUCCAACAUCGGCCUUCUCCCUCCCUGGGAUGUCAUGCACCUCUGAUGCCAUCAGCACAAGAGGAAAGAUGACAAGGAAAUACACACAUGAGGGUGUUUCUAGCCAGGUCUUGAAG